GACGAACGCUGGCGGCGUGCUUAACACAUGCAAGUCGAACGGAAAGGCCCUGCUUUUGUGGGGUGCUCGAGUGGCGAACGGGUGAGUAACACGUGAGUAACCUGCCCUUGACUAUGGGAUAACUUCAGGAAACUGGGGCUAAUACCGGAUAGGAGCUCCUGCUGCAUGGUGGGGGUUGGAAAGUUUCGGCGGUUGGGGAUGGACUCGCGGCUUAUCAGCUUGUUGGUGGGGUAGUGGCUUACCAAGGCUUUGACGGGUAGCCGGCCUGAGAGGGUGACCGGGCACAUUGGGACUGAGAUACGGCCCAGACUCCUACGGGAGGCAGCAGUGGGAAACAUUGCACAAUGGGCGCAAGCCUGAUGCAGCAACGCCGCGUGCGGGAUGACGGCCUUCGGGUUGUAAACCGCUUUCGCCUAUGACGAAGCGUGAGUGACGGUAAUGGAUAAAGAAGCACCGGCUAACUACGUG
rnacentral:rRNA from 1 species